AGAGUUUGAUCAUGGCUCAGGACGAACGCUGGCGGCGUGCCUAAUACAUGCAAGUCGAGCGAACAGAUGGGAGCUUGCUCCCUGAUGUUGGCGGCGGACGGGUGAGUAACACGUGGGUAACCUGCCUGUAAGACUGGGAUNAACUCCGGGAAACCGGGGCUAAUACCGGAUGCUUGUUUGAACCGCAUGGUUCAAACAUAAAAGGUGGCUCCGGCUACCACUUACAGAUGGACCCGCGGCGCAUUAGCUAGUUGGUGAGGUAAUGGCUCACCAAGGCAACGAUGCGUAGCCGACCUGAGAGGGUGAUCGGCCACACUGGGACUGAGACACGGCCCAGACUCCUACGGGAGGCAGCAGUAGGGAAUCUUCCGCAAUGGACGAAAGUCUGACGGAGCAACGCCGCGUGAGUGAUGAAGGUUUUCGGAUCGUAAAGCUCUGUUGUUAGGGAAGAACAAGUAUCGUUCGAAUAGGACGGUA
rnacentral:rRNA from 1 species